CUUUCUUCUCCAAUAUAUAAACAUGUUGCUGCAAGUUUCUGUUCAGAUUUUCUUAACCUAAUAUUUUCAUCUUUUUGCAACAAAUCUCAGCCGCCAUUCCUCACCUUAAUAAUCUGAAACUUCAAUCAUCUUUCUCCUCCAUUUAAUUUACGCUAAUCUUUAUUUCAAUUGUUCUUUGACGAUUUACAUCGACUCGACGAUCUCUUCGAAUAUCACAUAUUGAAACCGAUUAAGAGGCGAACCAGAGUUAGGUGCUUGUCAGGAUCACGUGGAUUUAGCAAGCAGUGAGUUUAUAUCUCUAUUUACCUCUUUAUUAAGCAAUUAUUAUAUUUUGUAUAUAUAUAUAUAUGUAUAAACAGCUUUUGAACUGUUUUCGGCAUUGUGGAUUUGAUUUGGAACGUGCUACUCGAUGGGCAUCAUCGGGACUGCGUGCGCACCGGUAAUAAUUAUGGUAAUGAGGUAGGUUUGAGAUAUGUCUCACCUUAGUGAGGGCACCGGUGGAAGAUACGUCUCCUGGGCUCACUAUUUAUUAAGUGAUAGUCGGGGGGUCGGUUAUUGAGAUACGUCUCACCGACACG